rnacentral:rRNA from 1 species
GAUGAACGCUGGCGGCGUGCCUAAUACAUGCAAGUCGAGCGAACAGACGAGGAGCUUGCUCCUCUGACGUUAGCGGCGGACGGGUGAGUAACACGUGGAUAACCUACCUAUAAGACUGGGAUAACUUCGGGAAACCGGAGCUAAUACCGGAUAAUAUAUUGAACCGCAUGGUUCAAUAGUGAAAGACGGUUUUGCUGUCACCUAUAGAUGGAUCCGCGCCGCAUUAGCUAGUUGGUAAGGUAACGGCUUACCAAGGCAACGAUGCGUAGCCGACCUGAGAGGGUGAUCGGCCACACUGGAACUGAGACACGGUCCAGACUCCUACGGGAGGAAGCAGUAGGGAAUCUUCCGCAAUGGGCGAAAGCCUGACGGAGCAACGCCGCGUGAGUGAUGAAGGUCUUCGGAUCGUAAAACUCUGUUAUUAGGGAAGAACAAAUGUGUAAGUAACUAUGCACGUCUUGACGGUACCUAAUCAGAAAGCCACGGCUAACUACGUG